rnacentral:rRNA from 1 species
CCUACGGUAGGCAGCAGUGAGGAAUAUUGGUCAAUGGGCGUAAGCCUGAACCAGCCAAGUCGCGUGAGGGAUGAAGGUUCUAUGGAUCGUAAACCUCUUUUAUAAGGGAAUAAAGUGUGGGACGUGUCCUGUUUUGUAUGUACCUUAUGAAUAAGGAUCGGCUAACUCCGUGCCAGCAGCCGCGGUAAUACGGAGGAUCCGAGCGUUAUCCGGAUUUAUUGGGUUUAAAGGGUGCGUAGGCGGCCUUUUAAGUCAGCGGUGAAAGUCUGUGGCUCAACCAUAGAAUUGCCGUUGAAACUGGGAGGCUUGAGUGUGUUUGAGGUAGGCGGAAUGCGUGGUGUAGCGGUGAAAUGCAUAGAUAUCACGCAGAACUCCGAUUGCGAAGGCAGCUUACUAAGCCAUAACUGACACUGAAGCACGAAAGCGUGGGGAUCAAACAGGAUUAGAUACCCGAGUAGUC